CGGGAACGGCAAUCGAGGUGCUGCAUGGCUGUCGUCAGCUCGUGUCGUGAGAUGUUGGGUUAAGUCCCGCAACGAGCGCAACCCUUGUCCUGUGUUUGCUAAUCUUCGGAUGCACUCUCAGGAGACCGCCAGCGACAAGCUGGAGGAAGGUGGGGAUGACGUCAAGUCAGCAUGGCCUUUAUGUCCAGGGCUACACACGUGCUACAAUGGGCAGGACAAACCGUUGCGAACCCGCGAGGGGGAGCUAAUCGGAGAAACCUGUUCUCAGUUCGGAUUGCAGGCUGCAACUCGCCUGCAUGAAGCUGGAAUCGCUAGUAAUGGUAGAUCAGCAUGCUACCGUGAAUACGUUCCCGGGCCUU
rnacentral:rRNA from 1 species